rnacentral:rRNA from 1 species
GGAGCGGUGGAAUGCGUAGAUAUCAAGAGGAACGCCGGUGGUGAAGACGUCGCACUAGGCCUGUCCUGACGCUGAGACACGAAAGCGUGGGGAGCAAACGGGAUUAGAUACCCCGGUAGUCCACGCUGUAAACGAUGCUUACUAGGUUGUGGCGGUUCUGACGCCGGCACAGCCGAAGCAAAAGUGUUAAGUAAGCCGCCUGGGGAGUACGGUCGCAAGGCUAAAACUCAAAGGAAUUGACGGGGGCUCACACAAGCGGUGGAGCAUGUGGAUCAAUUCGAAGCAACGCGCAGAACCUUACCUGGGUUUGACAUGCUUGGAUGCCUUCCUGGAAACAGGGUAGGUUACCCUUCGGGGUGAAACUUGCACAGGUGCUGCAUGGCUGUCGUCAGCUCGAGUCGUGAGAUGUCGGGUUAAGUCCCAUAACGAGCGAAACCCUUGCCGUUAGUUGCCAGCGGGUCAUGCCGGGGACUCUAACGGGACUGCCGGUGCUAAACCGGAGGAAGGUGGGGAUGACGUCAAGUCAUCAUGGCCUUUAUGCCCAGGGCCUCACACGUGCUACAAUGGUCGGGACAAAGCGACGCAAGACCGUAAGGUGGAGCUAAUCGCAAAAACCUGGCCCCAGUUCGGAUUGUGGGCUGGCAACUCGCCCGCAUGAAGCCGGAAUCGCUAGUAAUCGUGGAUCAGCGAUGCCACGGUGAAUGUGUUCCUGAGCCUUGUACACACCGCCCGUCAAGUGAUGGGAGUCGGGAGCACCCGAAGUCAGGUUGUUAACCCGCAAGGGAGACGCCUGCCGACG